UUCGUAUUUGCAGAUUUAGAGCAAGAGUAUGCAAAAAUCGAUCUAAGAAUAAAGUGGUUGUCAGAAAAUGUGUAAUUUGCAAAGUUAAUGAAGCCAUACUAAAUACAUAUGGGUCGUUGGCUUGCUUGUACUGUUUGGAUUUCUUCUAUGAUUGCGUAUCCAACUUGGUAGUGUCACAAUGUAUAAAGAAUGGCAAUUGUCCACGUCUUCCUGACGAUUGUAACUUUUGCAAGUUAAAUAGAUGCUACGAUGCCGGAAUGAAGGCGCAACUGAUUGAUUGUGGGGAAACUUACUCAAUUUUGCGCUCUAUUCGUUUCACUCAAUCACCACGAGGAAUCAGGUUCCUGAAGAAGAGAGACAAAAAACAAUUAUUUGAGUGUAUACCUUGCCUUAGAGAUAUGUUUCUCAACACUAUAUUCUCUAUGGAACAGUUUACAUGUUUACCAAUAACAAGAAAACAAUUCCUUCUGUCAAAAGCAAUGAUAAGAGGAAUAAUCAUGGAACUCGUCGAGAUGUGCCUUCAGGUUC